rnacentral:rRNA from 1 species
GAUUAACGCUGGCGGCGUGCAUAACACAUGCAAGUCGAACGAUGACACUUAGUAGACUUCUUCGGAAAGACACUAAGCGGCUUACUGGCGAACGGGUGAGCAACGCCUGCGUAUCCUGCCUUACACAAGGGGAUAGCCUUAGGAAACGAAGACUAAUACCCUAUAAAACCAUGAAAGCACAUGUUAGAAUGGUCAAAGUGAUAGCGGUGUAAGAUGGACUUGCGUCUGAUUAGCGAGAUGGUGAGAUAAAAGCUCACCAAGGCAACGAUCAGUGGCCGGAUUGAGAGAGUGUACGGGCACAUUGGGAGUGAGACAAGGCCCAGACUCCUACGAGAGGCAGCAGUGGGGAAUUUUGCACAAUGGGGGGAACACUGAUGCAGCGAGGUCGUGUGAUUUAGAAGGCCUUAGAGUUGUAAAAAUCUUUUGUAUAGGAAGAAAAUGACGGUACUAUACGAAUAAGGUCCGGCUAAUUACGUG